GUGGCGAUGGAGUGACGGAGAAGGCUCAGGCAACCAGCUGCUGGAAUAGCUGGGGCAAGCGAGAUACCUGCGCACCAGGGAAAUCCGGUGCGCAUAAGGGGAAGGCGCGAAGCAUACGGAAAGCUUCGGCAAGUACGGAAAAGCUGAGAGCAGGCUUCCAGGAAAAGCUUCUAGCAUAACACACAUCGGCCCGUACCGAAAAUGGACACACAUGGGCAAGGAGAGAAUCCUGAGAUGAGCGAGAGAACUAUAGCUAAGGAACUCUGCAAAAUGACCCCGUAACUUAGGGAGAAGGGGUGCUCCAGAAAUGGAGCCGCAGUAAAACGGCCCAAGCGACUGUUUACCAAAAACACAGCUCUCUGCGAAGGCGCAAGCCGAAGUAUAGGGGGUGACGCCUGCCCGGUGCUGGAAGGUCAAGGGGAGCUGUCAGCGCAAGCGAAGCAGCGAGCCGAAGCCCCAGUAAACGGCGGCCGUAACAAUAACGGUCCUAAGGUAGCGAAAUUCCUUGUCGGGCAAGUUCCGACCCGCACGAAAGGCGUAACGAUUUGGGCGCUGUCUCAGCUGUAGACUCGGUGAAGUCUUAGUACCUGUGAAGAUGCAGGUUGCCCGCGACUAGACGGAAAGACCCCAUGGAGCUUCACUGCAGGUUGACAUUGGGCUUGGAUGCAUGAUGUACAGGAUAGGUGGGAGGCUGUGAGCCGCGCGCGUCGGCGUACGGGGAGCCGCUGUUGGGAUACCACCCUUCAUGCAUCUAGGUCCUAACCGGAGGCAACGGGCCACGGGACAGUGUCAGUCGGGCAGUUUGACUGGGGCGGUCGCCUCCCAAAGAGUAACGGAGGCGCCCAAAGAUACCCUCAGCAUGGAUGGAAACCAUGCAUAGAGUGCAAAGGCAUAAGGGUGUCUGACUGCGAGACAUACAGGUCGAGCAGGGACGAAAGUCGGGCUUAGUGAUCCGGCGGAUCCGAAUGGAAGGGCCGUCGCUCAACGGAUAAAAGCUACCCUGGGGAUAACAGGCUGAUCUCCCCCAAGAGUUCACAUCGACGGGGAGGUUUGGCACCUCGAUGUUGGCUCAUCGCAUCCUGGAGCUGAAGUCGGUUCCAAGGGUUGGGCUGUUCGCCCAUAAAAGCGGUACGCGAGCUGGGUUCAGAACGUCGUGAGACAGUUCGGUCCCUAUCUGUCGUGGGCGCAGGAGGUUUGAGGAGAGCUGCCCCUAGUACGAGAGGACCGGGGUGGACGGACCGAUGGUGCACCAGUUGUCACGCCAGUGGCACAGCUGGGCAGCCAAGUCCGGACGGGAUAAGCGCUGAAGGCAUCUAAGCGUGAAGCCCCCUCUAAGAUGAGACCUCCCAUUGGCGACAAGUAAGGCCCCUCGAAGACGACGAGGUUGAUAGGCCGCGAGUGCAAGCGCAGCGAUGUGCUUAGCGGGGCGGUACUAAUAGGCCGAGGACUUGGCC
rnacentral:rRNA from 1 species